UACGAAGGGGGCUAGCGUUGCUCGGAAUCACUGGGCGUAAAGGGUGCGUAGGCGGGUCUUUAAGUCAGGGGUGAAAUCCUGGAGCUCAACUCCAGAACUGCCUUUGAUACUGAGGAUCUUGAGUUCGGGAGAGGUGAGUGGAACUGCGAGUGUAGAGGUGAAAUUCGUAGAUAUUCGCAAGAACACCAGUGGCGAAGGCGGCUCACUGGCUCGUUUCUGACGCUCAGGCGCGACAGCGUGGGGAUCAAACAGG
rnacentral:rRNA from 1 species